AACGAAUGAUGGCGGCAUGCCUAACACAUGCAAGUCGAACGAGACCUUCGGGUCUAGUGGCGCACGGGUGCGUAACGCGUGGGAACCUGCCCUUAGGUUCGGAAUAACUCCCCGAAAGGGGUGCUAAUACCGGAUAAUGUCUUCGGACCAAAGAUUUAUCGCCUUUGGAUGGGCCCGCGUUGGAUUAGCUAGUUGGUAGGGUAAAAGCCUACCAAGGCGACGAUCCAUAGCUGGUCUGAGAGGAUGAUCAGCCACACUGGGACUGAGACACGGCCCAGACUCCUACGGGAGGCAGCAGUGGGGAAUAUUGGACAAUGGGCGAAAGCCUGAUCCAGCAAUGCCGCGUGAGUGAUGAAGGCCUUAGGGUUGUAAAGCUCUUUUACCCGGGAUGAUAAUGACAGUACCGGGAGAAUAAGCUCCGGCUAACUCCGUG
rnacentral:rRNA from 1 species